rnacentral:rRNA from 1 species
AGUGAACGCUGGCGGCAGGCCUAAUACAUGCAAGUCGAACGGCAGCACAGCAGAGCUUGCUCUGUGGGUGGCGAGUGGCGGACGGGUGAGGAAUACGUGGGAAUCUGCCCAGUCGUGGGGAUAACGUAGGGAAACUUACGCUAAUACCGCAUGCGCCCUUCGGGGAAAGCCGGGGACCUUCGGGCCUGGCGCGAUUGGAUGAGCCCACGUCGGAUUAGCUAGUUGGCGGGGUAAAGGCCCACCAAGGCGACGAUCCGUAGCUGGUCUGGGAGGAUGAUCAGCCACACUGGAACUGAGACACGGUCCAGACUCCUACGGGAGGCAGCAGUAGGGAAUAUUGGACAAUGGGCGCAAGCCUGAUCCAGCCAUGCCGCGUGAGUGAAGAAGGCCCUCGGGUUGUAAAGCUCUUUGUCCGGAAAGAAAAGCGCCGGGUUAAUACCCUGGUGUCCUGACGGUACCGGAAGAAUAAGCACCGGCUAACUUCGUGCCAGCAGCCGCGGUAAU